UGUUCAGAGAUUGUCAAUGUCGUUACCUACACAGUAGAUACGGGAAUACAAUUGUUAA
rnacentral:ncRNA from 1 species